CUGCCCAGCCUUUGCUAUGGCUCUAAUAGCUCUGACCCCCAGGCAACUUUAUUUAUUAACAUACAAUUAAAAUCACAUUUCAGUACAAAUAAAAUACCACCAUAAAGGCCUAGUAACUAUUUGGGACAUUAAAAUUUUAUUUUCUACAUUGGUCUAAAAUUAGAGUCUUAUUUGAAAAUGCUAUGUUUCAUUAACCAGUGUCAUGGUAUCUGCAUUUUAGAGUAUUUCUAUCUAAAUAAAGCAAAUCAAAGAGUCGGUGGUGCAUACCUUUAAUCCCAGCACUGGGGAUGCAGAGGUAGGAGAAUCUCUGUGAGUUCGAGGCUAGCUUGGUCUACAAAGCAAGUACCAGGACCCUGUUACACAGAGAAACCCUGUCUCGGAAUACCAAAAAGAAAAAAAGAAAAAAAAAAAAAAGCUUAUGUGUUUAUCAAAUCCUCACCUAGACAGCUGCUUUAUCAGUUACUAGGUAUCCAGGCACUGCCUGAUCUUCCCUGUUAAAAGCCAGGUCAGCUACACAUUCUGGUUGCUAGGCAGCUAUAGGGUAUCUAGUUCCUUCCAGACCUGUGUCUUAUGCCACCUGCAUUCCAUGCUAAUCUCUCUGAACUUCCCAGGGGCUUGCUAGAGCAUUUCUUGUUCGCUUCUUUGUUUAUCAUGUCAGCUAUAAAUGUUACAUUCUUUGCCAGCUUUUAUCAGGAGUAUUUCUGAAUGCUAAAUAUGGUAAAUUUAUAUUAAGUGACUCUAAAGCAUAUUAUUAAACAGACAUAGAUCAAAGCCAUGAAGCCAGUUGUGGAAUUUGGAAACAUGCAUGAGAAUAAAUUAGUAUUAAAAAGCAAAACAAAAACCUCUCCUUCUCUUCAGUUUUUAUGAAUUUGUUCAAAACAUGCUGGAAGGUAAAGAUAUGAGACAGAAAGAAUGGGGAAGAAAAGGAGGUAAAUAGACAUCUGGGGAGGAAGGAGGAGAGGACAAGACACAGAAGGGUGGAAGAACGUCAUUUUUGACUUGAAAGGUCAUUUUUGAGAAACAUUGUUAGUGGAUGUGAAUGGUCACACAGGCCCUGUGCAACAGGCUCAUAAAAGCUCUGUGUCUAGUUCUUUAGCUGCCUGGACUGGGAUUUCCUUGGGAACUACAAAUUUUACCUUUCUAGUGCUUUAGAAGGAUUACCUGACCCAAAGCAGGCCUGGUAUACAAGAGGUUGUCUCCUCAGAGGGACUGGUAGACCCCAAAGUUGUACUAAAACCUAUAGGAGUCUUCCAUAAUGCACAUUCGACUCUAGAAUUAUAGUUGAACUUCGGGAGGCCAUGUUUCCAUCAGAAGAGGCCCUGAGCUUUCCUUCCAAGAGAGGGGACAGCAGGCAUUUCAGACAGCAAGAUGGUUGUUUUCUUGGUUUUACUGAUGAUAGAAACAGCUACAUCUUUGCUUCUCUGUGGAAGAAGUGUUUGAACGAUGUUUAGGCAAGAGUAAAGGAAAAAGAAAGCCACAGCAAGUUGUCUAACUGGUAGGUGCAGACAGGGGUUCAAAGCCUAGUGAGUCUACUCUGAUGUUCAUGGGGUGCCAAGGACAAGACUCCACAGCUCCUUCACACCAGUGCCCAGACUGUGCUAGGGGAGUUUCUUGCCUGGCUUUCUGCAUUCAAACAGAGAUCUGCCCUGUGAAGAACUAAGCCAUGCAGAAGUCAGGGUCUCCCAGCACAUCUUCCAUCCUUUCUCUUGCUUUGUAUAAUAAAGCACUUCUUUUCCAAAACAAAACUAUUAGAACUAUAUAUUGUUUUAGAAAAAGAUUGUGUCCACAGAGAAUUUAUUGCUCAUCAUUUUAUAGGAGAGUAGACUGUUUGGUUAUAGUUUAAAUUAUCCUACUUUGUUAUACAGAUGAGACAUGAUUUUAUCAUAAUGUCAUUAAUUUUAUGUUCCGCUAUAAUGUGCUAAACGUAUCCCCAUCCAUAGUCAGAUGAUGUUGAGGUUGUGUCAAGUAUAAUUAAUGAUUAGAAUCAUUCCCACCUGUCCCACGUUGUUGACAGACAGUGAAUAAAGGCAGUGUUGUUGCCCCUACGAUUGAUCUAGGGAAGUUAGGGCUUGGUUUUGACUCGAGAAAUUAUUAACCUUUUGCCAAGCUCUUCUAAGCCAAUGACUUAGAGCCCUGAUGCCCUGUAUUUAUUUAUUUUAAUAAUUCUUCCACCACUCCCAGUGAGGCAUGUUAUUUUUCUUACUAUUGGAACAUUGGUACGUGGCAUAUGCGCAAACACAGGGACAGAAAUGUACACAGACCCUUCCUUUAAAGGAGAGGAGGGGAAGCCACUGUCACAUCUCCUUCUGCCCUUCUCUUUGCAGCAGUGAGGGUCUUACUCGGCGUUAAGCACUGGGAAAUGCGUCAAGGUAACAUGCAUGUGGGAAAGAACCACAUGCCACAUUCUCCUUGAGUUCACAUAAGAAGCCCCAUGUCCAAAAAAAAAAAAAAAAAAAAAAAAGCCAGGCAGUGGUGGUGCACGCCUUUAAUCCCAGUACU